UUUGACAUUCCUUUGUUUGAAAAGAGAAGAAACGCUGUUAAACAGUGAAGCAAUACAACGAUGAUAAACAAAUUUGACACUGUUUUGUCUUUAUUGAAAAAGAAAAAAGUACUAAAAGGUUCUUGCAAUAACCAAUUAAGUGAUAAAACACUUGAGAUAAUGCAAAUUUUUCAACUGGCCUAGCAAUAGAUUUUUAGCUUGGCAACAUAAGGUUCUGUAAAAGAUCCUAUCCAUAAAUUUUUAUUCUGUUCAUUCGCAUCGCUACCAUAUCGCCAUGCCUCUCCAUUUCCAGCCUCCAAUAUCUUCAAUAUAUCACCAUUUUGACUCAAUUUAACUAUCGAUCCGUAAGGAUUAACCUUGGUAUCCAGUGAUAUAACUGCAACCCAAAAUUCACCCUUUUGGUUUCUUUUGAUGUUAUCUGGUCUUCCUGGAAGUUUUGCAAAGAUUUCAACUGUACCAGCUUUUGAUGGCUCAAGGCAGUACUUCAGUAUUCUAGAAUUUGUAGUUUCAGCAACUAGCAGAAAAUCACCGUUUUUGCUGAGUGCCACCCCAUUUGGAAGCAUGAGAUUAUUGAGUAGAACUGUUGCUUGAUUAGUUUUUGGAUCAAACUUUAAUAAUCUUCCCGAUUUAUCCCCUGUACUUAUCACUAAAGUGGAAUUUCUGAAAUUUGGAGCACAAUAAUUAGUGUUACUGAUGUUGAGUAUAGAAGAAUAAUAGACCAAAAUAUUUUAUAUGUAUAUAUAUAUAUAUAUAUAUAUGAGCAACAAUGUAUUUCCUUAAAUAGUUGUGACUGAGUGAUGAGACUCAAGACAUUCUAAUCCUAGAUCAUUGUGCUUAGGCAUAUCAAUGGGUAAGGUUUGGAUUUGAUCAUUUAAUUCAGAUCUAGACACAUUAAAUUUAGUUAAAUCCAGACCCUUAUGGGUCUGAAAAGACAAGUCCAAACCUAAACCCUCAUGGAUUUGGGUAUCCAAUGAGUAUCCGUUGUAUUUUUCUAAACACACUAAAGUAAAAAUAUAUAGAUUUAAAAAAAUAUAUAAACACCAUCCGCAUUUUAUUUUCAAAUAAUAAAAUUAAUAUUCAAGAAGUUGAAUGCAAUAUUAUGAACUGAAAAAAUGACUAUUAUCGACUGCUUCUAUUUAUUUUUAAAAUUCAGCUGUAUUUACGUCCAAUCUUUUAUUUGUUUGCAUUUACUUUUUUUCCUUUUUCUAAAGAAUUUUGUACUAAUUACAAUGUUAACUAGGAUUAGUUUGAAAUAAGAAAACAAUCAUGAAAUCUUACUAUAUUCAAUCCAAUGACCAUAGAAUAUUAAAAUAUUUUAUAUAUAUAUAUAUAAUUUAAUUAUAUAUAUAUAUAUAUAUAUAUAUAUAUAUAUGUUUGGGUAAGGUCUGAUAUGGAUUUGAAUUUGGAUAUAGAUUAUAGAAAAUCCAAUACUAUCCAGACCCAUAACUCUUUUAUUGGAUCUAAGUCUGGAUAGCAUUUGGAUAGUGUCUGAAUUUGAUAAAUUAAAUUCAAACCCUAUCCAAAUACAUUGGAUCCAGGUUGGAUCUAGAUAAGAUCCGAUCAAUUGAUAUGUCUAAUUGUGCUAUUUGAACAAGCAUUCGAAUUAAUAGGAGGCUAAGCCAGGAAGGAAUUUUUGUAUUGUCAACUGGUGACACGAUUCUAGUUGAGCUUUUAAAACCUUUUUUUUUUCAAUUUUUCUUGCAAGGAAAGCAUAGAAUUCAAGAAGCGUGGAACUUUUAAAUCCUAAGUCCAAAUUGUAAACUCCAAAUGUCAUCCUCUACGUGUAAUUGGUUUCUGACGAACAAGUGUCUUACUUACGGCUUUGAUAACGCAAGUAGUUUAAAAUCCAUAUUUUGUUGAACAAACUUUUGUUCAUAAUGCAAGAAAGUUUAAACUCUUAGCUGUUCGGCUAUAUUACUGCUUGGUGGGUAGGGCCGUAAGGAAAUAGUAUCCUACAAGGAAUGUAGUAUCCAUUACCUUACUGAAUAUAUAGUGCUGCUGUCCGUGAAAUAUACUACGCCACUAUUUUCAUCAACAACUACAUCGUUGGUGAAUUUGAAAGGAACUCCUUCAGCUUCAUUUGCCAAUGGUGUAGCCAAUCCGCCAUUAGGACCUACUACCAGAAGGCCCUUGUAAGUAUCUGCAAUGUACAACUUACCAGAAAGUUUAAAAUCCAUAUUUUGUUGAACAAACUUUUGUUCAUAAUGCAAGAAAUUUUAAACUCUUAGCUGUUCGGCUAUUUUACUGCUUGGUGGGUAGGGCCGUAAGGAAAUAGUAUCCUACAAGGAAUGUAGUAUCCAUUACCUUACUGAAUAUAUAGUGCUGCUGUCCGUGAAAUAUACUACGCCACUAUUUUCAUCAACAACUACAUCGUUGGUGAAUUUGAAAAGAACUCCUUCAGCUUCAUUUGCCAAUGGUGUAGCCAAUCCGCCAUUAGGACCUACUACCAGAAGGCCCUUGUAAGCAUCUGCAAUGUACAACUUACCAGACUUCCGAUUGAAACUUAGACCUAACGGCAGGCCACAUCUUGACUCAGUGGGAAUAUGAUCUUGCGGACCUUCACAACUAUUUCUGUUUCAAAACAGAUCAUCAUUUAAUUGUCUUGGACAAAAACCAAGAGCACUAAAUAAAACAAGGAUUGACCCGCCGGGCCCGGGUCGCAGGGGAUUAGUCGGGCCCCGUAAGGAUUGACCCAGACACUCCUGUGUCGACAAAAAAAUAAAUAAAUAAAACAAGGAUUGAUUUUGUACAUACUGAGCACUUUAUAUUUUGGACAAAAAUAUGGUUGGAGAGAAAAAAAAAAUGUUUCAACAGUUUACCAUUAUAGGGGCAACUCUAUCCCUUACAUGGUUCAAAAUAUAAUCAAAGUUUCAUGGAUUUUUUUUUUUGUUUUCUUCAUUAUUUAGUUGAUGAAUUUCUUAAACCUACCAUGAGUUACAUAACAUGUAAUGUAAUCACAAAAGAGAAUGUGGUGGAGGGGUUGUGACGUGGGACGGAAAAAGUCAAGGUGUGACCCAAUGAUAAAUGCCAAAUUAAGUUUAAUAUCGCCUAGAAAUUUUUUUUCUUCAUCUAAUUAGAUUUAGUAUCAAUUAGGAAAUAUUUUCCUUCUUUCUAACUAGAUGUAAUAUUUAUUGGAAAUAUAUCCCGGUCCUUUUGAUGUAUUCCACGUUCUUUUGACGUAAAUCAAACAAUAUGAUAAAUUCAUUAACAAUUCCUCCCUUGCAAGAACAAAAAAAAAACACAAUCUAUUAUAAAUUCAUCCAUUUGACAAUGUAUUUUGUGGAUUUUGUUUGCUGCCAAGUUUUUUUUAAUCCUUUUCUUAGUAGAAAAUAGUGAAACGUAAGAAGUCAAAAGGGAAAGAAAUAAUUUGAAUCAAAAACUUCAAAGCCUCCGGACUUAUUGCAACAAAGCUGGGGUUACUUUUGUCAUGCAUUAUUUACACCAAAUAGAAACUAGGACUUCUUGUCGAUCUAUGUUUCCAGCUACGCUAAUUCAGAAAUGCAAAAAAUUGUUUUGCAAUUUUAGUCUCCAGGUUGUCAUGGUCGAAAUCGAUAUGUUCAAAUACUCAAAGUUGGAAAAAUAUUGGGAUAGCGGUUGCGGAUUCUUUGUCACAAAAAAUGUUGGGAAAAUUAUUCUUACCUGUUCGGAGUUGUUAUAGCAAAAUUGGUCCAACGCCUCUCACUUGAAAGCCACCUGAUUAUCCGGCCAUCGGAAAUGCCAGUGUAUGGGCCGCCACCGUAUCUAUCAAACACCACACUCUCGAGUCCAGUGGCAUUGAUAAUGGGAAAUUUUUCAGACCCUAGAAUCUGACAAUCUUUUGGUCCAGGACUACAACUCACGACUUCAAAACCAACUGAGAUUGAUACCGCUAUGGUAAGGAUGGUUGAAGCUGCCCAAAAGAGCUUGGAACCCAUGGACUUCAGGAAGGUACCUCGAAUGAAAAUCUAAAGGCGGUCGGAAGUGUUUGUUUGCCUUUGGGGUCAGACUAUCAGCUGCUCCAGCUCGAAAUGCUUAUAGGAAAGUUUGUAUAUGGAAGGGUCAAAGGAAAACCAAAAAGUCCACAUUAUGGUAGGAUAGUUCGACUUUUAAAUUCUCCUCUCUUAUUGUCAAGUAAUUUCUUAAUUACGUAAUUCUUUUAAUAGAAAAAGGGCGGAAUUUCAUUAACUAUCAAUUAAAACCGUUUAUUAAUAUUGGAGUUCUUUUGGAUCUAUUUUGAUAGAUCUCAUCAUUAAUAUUGGAGUUUAAAACCGUUUAUUAGCAAAAACUGUUUAUUAACAAUCCGUUGAUGAAAACUAUUCUUUAUAAAAAAAAAAACCAAAAAAAUUUUGGAGGAUCACUCCACCAAAUCCCAAUGGGAAAAUUCUGCAAUCGGAUUAGGAUAUCAGCAAAAGACAGAGAUUAGUUUUAACGGAAGAAAUAAUCAAAAUUACACUCCAACCAACAAAAGUUUUUUUUUUUUUUUUAAAUACUCCAAACACAAGGCCACUUGUUUGUAUAAAAGCCAAAAGAUUCUUUCUUUUGGUUUAUCUCUUUAUUUGCUUUUCCAAAGGGUCAACUUAUUGUGGUUAUCAAAGGUCGUUUGUCCUUUGAACAAGUCAAGAGUCGUUUAACAAAGGUCGUUUGAACAAGUCAAGAGUCGUUUAUUAAAGGACGUUUGUCCUUUGAACAAGUCAAGAGUCGUUUAACAAAGGUCGUGUAUCUGUAUUAUAAAUAGAUGAGCCUUAUCUGAGGAAAGGAUCAUCAGACUUUGUAUCAGAAGUUCAUAUCAAUAAAUCCCAGAGUGUUUCUAUAAAAAUGAGAGCCUAAGUUUUCUUUUAUUUCCUUAAACACGGCAAUGAUACAUGGCUAAAGGGGUAUCCAAAAUCGCUUCAUAAAAGUCCCUUGAUCGUUGAAAAGCAUAUCUUCCCCUUAUAUUAUUCUUGCACAAUUUCCGUUGGAUGAGUUGGAAACUUGAAGAACUUAUUAAAAAAAAAUUGAAUUAUCACUUCCCAUAUGAUAUGAAUUCAUUUGUCUAAUGGAUAAAAAUCAAAGGUUAUCAUCGAUUGAAAUGUUUAAGCAGUUUGUAUUAGAUUAUAUUGUUGCUUGGACAAACAAAGUUUAAGAACGUCACAAUUACUAUUUAGGCCGGCUUGCAUAUGGGCUGUCUAUUUAAACAUUAAGCAUUAAAAUCCACGAGAUGUUUAAAGAAAAAAAAAUGAUGAAAAGAUUCAAAAUCUUACUAUAGGCUACAUGGAGUCUUGGCUUGAAAAAAAUUUUUUUUUUUUUGCCUUUUUUGAGAAAAUGGUAACUUUGUCUAACAAAGCUAAAAAAGACAAAUUAGUUACUUAAGGGCCUUCUUGGUAAUGUUGGUAUCAUUUCUUUCCUAUUUUCUACUAUAAAUCAAAUAGAAAACUUGUACAGUAUUUAAUGAAAAAACUUAAAAUGUGUUUCAUUCGUAACACCAAGUACCUGUGAUUAAAUGCUAUUUAUCAAUUUAUGGGAUGCAACUGAAAUUUACAACACCAGUUGGUGCGUUAAGACGGCAUGCUCUGAAAGGCGUAUUGGGUUUGGUGUGAGGGUAGGAGGUGCGUGGGUAGGCUUGUUAGUGGGACUAUCUCGCACGAAUUCAAGCCACUUAGCCUGCUGAAAUAGGGUUAGGCUUCACUUGAAUUAGGGUUGGACCGAGUUAGGAUCUAAAGUUAGUGCCAAAUUAAAAAUAAAGUUGGGUUGGACCAAAUUAGGCUCAACCUAUAUGAGGCUUGACAAGAUUAAUUAAUAACAUCAAAUGCUAAUGGAUGUUCAGCACUCCUAUUUUUGAGGUGUUUUAGAGGGCCAAAUUUUUUUCUAAAAGAUCACUUAUGUAAUCAUCUAAAACACAAGGCCAGCUAGGAUGGUGUGUUUUAAAGAAGUUUGUCAAAAUUUUUAUUGUGAUUUACUGUAGAAUUUUUACAAGAACUUUCAUAAUUUUUGAGUAUUGAGAAGAUGGUUGUAGAACCCAACCACUGACUGCCAUCACACCUACUCCAUACUGCCAACAAUCUCCAUCACAAUAUCACACCCAUCCCAUCUCCUAGCCUGCCACCUACGCCUACAAACAACCUCACUACCACUCCUACCAUCCAACUCUUUUUCCUUCUCCUCGCCUCCUCAACCCUUUCUCGCCUGCUAUUCCUCCUCCUUAUCCUCCUCUUCUUCUCCCCCCACCUCUUUAUCCUCUCUCCAGCAUCUUCUUCUUCUCCAACUAUUGCUAUUUCUCAACCAAAUGAAGGAGGGAGGGAAACUGGUGGGCGAGAGAGAGAAUAUGGAGCUAAGAGACUAAGAGAGGAAAGAAAGGAGGAAUAGGUGGAAGAAAUAAAGGAUAAGGCAAGAAAAAGGAAGAGAGGGAAAGAAAAAAGGCACGUGACAGUGGUGGGGGAGGAAACGGUAGUGGGGGAUGAUGGUAGUAAUAGGGAAGGUAGUAAUGAAGGGGUGGCAAUGGUGAUAGUUGGGAUAUGUGUUUUUCUGCUAUAAUUUUUUAAAAAUUUGUGGGUUUUUUAAAGGAUAAUUGUAGAUGGAUCAUGGAUCUAUAUGGAUUAGAUUUUUUUAGGAUUUUUUUUUUAAAAACUAUACUAUAACGUUGUAUUUCUAAAAAUUUCUACUUUAGAUGAGUCCACAUAGGUUAGGUGUUUUGAGAAUGUAUUUUAGAGUGCUUUUAAAAUUAAAAUUUUAUUAGAGUAUUUUUAAAAAUUUAUUAAAUAUUCACUGCCAUUAUAAGCUACCUCCCACCACUGUCCCUUCCCUACUCCCUCCUCUAUUGCCAUCAACAUUCCUCCCCCUUCUCUAUUCUCCCUCUUCCUCUUCCUCCCCCUCGCUCCUUCUCCAUCUUUCUCCUUCUUUCCUCUCCUCUCCCUUCUCCUCCCCUCUUUUGGGAGAGAGGAGGAAAGGAAGAGAAAAAGGGAGAAGAGAUGAGGGGGAAUGGUGGUGGCAAUAGAAAAGGGAGGGUGGUGUGUGAUGGAUGAAAGAAGAAAAAGGUGGUUUGAUUUAUUUUAUUUUUUAAAUUCUUUAAUAUUUUGUUAGGUAUAUUUGAAAUUGUUGUAUAAGGAGUAUGUUAUUAUAAUAUUGUAUUUGAAAAUUUUGAUUAAAAAUAAGGCAAUUUAAACAGAAAAAUUUGAUUAUUAUAAUAUUGUAUUUGAAAAAAUAAGGCUUAGAAAAAAAAUUUGUCUUUCUAAACUAGGCCUAAGUACCCGACAAGUUUUAGAAAAACAUCAAAAAAAAAAACAUUAAAAAGACCACCUCCAAUGCCAACACUUCACCACCACUGCCACUCUCUAUCACCACCGCCUUCCUCCCUUUUACUCCUCUAUUGACCUUCUCUCUGCCUCCUCCUUCUUCCCUUUCUCCUCCUCUCCCUUUCUCCUCCCUCCUUCUUCCCUUCUUCCUGUGACCUCCGUUCCCCAUAUAAAAUUCAAGCUAGCCGGAUCUUGACUUGAUGUCUACCUGAAUAAAUGACCUCAGAUAAGGCCUCAUAUACAUGUGAGAUUUAAAGGUUCGACUUUGGACUAGCAUGUAUGACCUUUUUGUUGUAUGGGCUUGGGCCCUUAUAAACCCAAAAUAAAUGAGUCAAGUGAUAGGUUGAACUCGUUUGUGACGAGUAGAGUGGGCUUUGGUGUAGUAGAAAUACAAUGUAAUAAAGAACGGAAAUUAUGUGGAAAUAAGAAUAAAUGAUAUACAUCUUUGAUCUAUUAAAAUUUAUAUUUAGAAAACAAUCCUGCUCUUAUAAACGUUUCUCGAUUUCGUAAAAUACAAAAACUUUAAUAAAAGCAUAAAAAACACGAAACCUAAACGUAAUUUUAUGGCCCCUUUAGUUCCAAUAUUUUACUCCAUUAGAUAUAUUUGACAUGGAAUAUACAGCAGAAGUUGCAAUGUACAUAAUUAUAGAUGUGCAAGAAAAGAAGCUUCAUUACUGGACAAGUUGGCAUGAUUACCUAAAAAUGACUCUCGUAUCAUCAUAGUCACCAUAAUUUUGAGAGUUACAUACAUGCACAAAAUCGUACUUUUACCUUCAAAUACUUGAGAUAUUAACAAAAUCAAAAUUUUCACUUCUAACGCCUUGAGAUAUUAAAAAAUAAAAUAUUAUUAAAAUUUUAAGGACAAGGAGAGAUACAAGCAGAAAUUUACCAAUUAAAGCAUAUUUUGGGGCAUUCAACCAUAUAUUGUUUUGAUGCAAGCAUCAUUUCUAACGGCAAUUAAUGUACAAGAGACAUUUGUUUAUUUGAUAAAAGUUUUGAUAUUUAAGGUGUUGACUGUAAUUUGGUCAAAAGUUAUAGGGUUUGUUUGAUAAUUAAUUUAAUCAAAUCUCAAGAAAGGUAAAUGUAGUUAACAUUUAAAUUCAAAUGAUAACAGAAAUAAUGAACAAGUAUAGGUGACAUAACGUGUAUCUAAAGCUUCAUACUUAGGUGUAAUAACAAAUAGGGUUACAAAUUAAAUUAGCAAUUGCAAAACAAUAAAACAAAAAUUCAAAUAUAAAAAAAAUGACAGCAAAGUAUUAAAAAUUAUACCUUUGUUCACUCCAUUUCCAAAGGGUGGUGGUCUUUGGCAAGAGUAUCAAAUAGUGAGACUUUUGAAAGAAUGUUGUUAGUGAAUGUAAUCUUUAAAAAGUUAUUCAGUGAAUGCAACUUUUUGAGGAAUAAAUGCUUAAAAAAAUUAAAACACGCAUUCUAUGAUGCAACUUUUAAGGAAACAUUGCAUUAAGCAAAUACGUGUUUCAUCCUUUAGGAUGAGGUAUGAAAACUGUUGCCUUUUGAGAAGUUCUUUUAAAAGGGGGCAAAUAGUCUAUUUGACCGUCAAACUUUAACAAUAUUAUAAUUUUAGCCCUCUAAUUAUAAUUUGUAUAUUUUUAGACCUUGAACUAUUAAAAAUAUAUAUUUAUACCUCUUUUAUCAAUUUGAACCGUGAAAUCUAAUGGAACUAGCUCAAAAUGAUGUCAUUUUGAUUUUUGUUCCUCCAAUUGAGUCCUAAUUGAUACAACUAUUUACCACCGGCAACAGCUAUUGACCAUUGUUGAUUGAGAGUUUACCAUUACUUUAUCAUUGUCAAAAUUUGAUCAAAUUGUAUCCAACACUUCGGUUAUGACAUAGAUUCCAAAUUUAAAUGAAUUUCAGUAAAUAAGAGUAUAUCUUGAGUCAAAGACGAUAGUUCUAUUAUCAUAUUACACAUCAUUUACCAAUUCUUUUGAAUUUUAUACUAAAAUGUUACUUGGAGCAUGAAGAAUUCAAAUCAACAAAGAAUUUGGCAUGAAAUACUCCGAACUUUUUUAAUUCAAUUUUGCACCAUCUAAGCUUUUUUCAGUUAAUUCAAGACCCAGUAGAUGUCAAACUUUUCAAUACUUUAUACGGAUGAACUACUCAUAUUAUGAAGAUUCUAGAUAUAUGACAUACAUAUUCUAAUUUAUGUUCAAUUAAAAGCCCUAAUUUGUAGUUGCUCUAUUUUCUAUUCUAGCAGAGAAAACUUUCUAUUUUGCUUUGUAUGUGGCAGGUGAUGCUCUUUCCAUCAAUUUUAACACCUCAAACUGACAAAAGGGCUAUUAGUAUUAGGGUUGGUAAUUUCCGACACGACCUAAAAACACGACACAAACCUAACACGAAAUUAAUGGGUUUGGGUUGAGGUUUUUCCGGUUCGGGUCAGAAUCGAGUCGAACCCGAAAAGAAAGCGGGUCGACAUCGAGUCAGCCCAUGGGUGGCCCGAUAUGACCCAAUAACCCGUUUAUGAAUUAAAAAUAAUUUAAUAAACAUAAAAAUUAUUUUAUCUAACUAAACUAAGUUAUUCUUUUUUUCCAAAAGCAUUCAUCACUUAAUCCUAAAUGAAUUUAUUUAACUUGUGUGAAGUUGAAAUUAUUAUAUUUGGACAAAUAAUGUAUUAUAUUAUUUUUUACUUUUAUACUGUUUUAAUUUAUUUUAUAUUUGGUUUGGGAUAAAACACUUUUACCGUGUUUUAAUUUAUUUUAGAUUUGGUUUGGGAUUAUUUAUUUAAAAUUUUAUUACUUGAUUAUGUAAUUAGUCUUGUGCGAAAUUGGUUUUAUUAGAAAUUACAGUAGUAAAUUAAUAAAUUAAAAAUAAGUUUCGGGUCAUUUCGGGUCGACCCGAAAUUUUCGAGUUCGGGUAAGGUAUUCUAGCCUAACCCGUUUCGGGUUGGCGGGUCCGGUUUGGAUCAGUGGAUUUUCUGUUAUACCUUAGUCUCAAGCCAACCCGUCAACCCGAUUUGAACCCGAUUGCCACCCCUAAUUAGUAUGCAUUUUAAUAUAGGGACCAAAAGUAUAGAACACAAAAUUAAAAUAUUAAAAGUAUAAAAUCAUUAAAGUUUGAUUGGCCAAAUAAGCUUUUUUGCCUGUUAAAAACCCACAUCUUUGAGAAUUAACUCCUCUACACGCAUUAAGACCUCUUUCCUGGUUCCUAGGGUAAGCUGGCAAGUUCAUUGUUAUCUUCUACAAGCAUUGCUCUUAUGCUUAGAUUUGCCCUUGGACGGGGAAGACUACAAUUUUGUGUGGGUGGGCUUGAGAUUUUCAAGACUAUUGACGUUUUUUGAAGACAGACUCUGACUUCCUUUGAUUUUAUCUAAUCAAAUAUCUUCAAUUUCGUGCAAUUACUAUAUAUAAGCUAUAAACCACAUGUCAUAUCUGCUACUCACAAAGUUACCUCGUCCUGUGCCGAUCAAGGUUACAUCAUUUUAUGUGAAUUUAGAAGAAAACAAUUGCAAAAUCACAAAAUUCAUCGUUGUAUGUUCUGUAGAUUAAUUUUUUCAAAGAUAUCUGGCAAUUUUUCAAUGUUUUGCUUCAUAUUCGAUAAUCAGAAAAGUCAAAACAAAAGAUUCAAAAAUUCCUGUUUGUUAAUACAGAGAGUGCGGACCUAACCAAGAAGUGCUAUGCGUCUAAAGUCUAGACGAGUCAUAAUUGGAGUUUUUAAACCUAGGCUGGAUAGGCUGAUGGUUAUUUUCAUUUUUCAACAAUUCUACUAGUAGGAGAGCUUUAGUUCGAUAGCAUAGGAUGCAUUUUUCCUUCACCUACUUAAAAGUGUACUUGCUUUAUUUAUUUAUUUUAGUAGGCAGAGUUGGUUAAAGAAGCUAUGAGGAAAAAGGGAUUUGAAUGUAAAACCUCUAAUUUUCUUUUUUCUUCACUUUCUCGGCAGUUAAGAGUAUACUUCCAUGUCUAUAUAUUUUGGUCCUCUAAAACGUCUAUUACAGCUCUUACUUUUCUUUCUUUUCCGCUGAUGUUGAUUAGUUAUUCUAAGCUUUCCGAUAGUUGCCCAUAUGCUCCAUAAUUUUUCAAAGUGCAACAGUCUCUCCUAAGAUUUGUGAUAGUUUUUAGAUAAAUCCAGCCUGCUACUUUUGAAUAAUUGUGAACUUAUGAGGUUUCUAAUCAAGUUGCGGUCUCCUCUACUGUUGAUCCUGGAAAACAGCAAAAAGAAAUUUAAAAAUUAAAGUUGCUUGCAAUUAACGUCAAAGUGCCCUGAUUAAGAAAGUUUUGAUCCAGUGCUAAGGUUGAAAUCUUAAGAAUUAGAGAUCUUAAGUUCAAAUCCUCCUUCCCCCUCUUACUUCUCAAAUCCCACUCUUUUCUUACUAAACAAAAAAUUAUUAAAAAAAAAAUUGCACUAAUAGAGAGUAUGACUGACUGCACUUGAAGUUUAGUUAACCUGAAUGAACCUCCUUCCUCCUCUUACUUGUGAAAUCCUCCUCUUUUCUUACUAAACAAAAAAUUAUUAUGAAAAAUUGCACUAAUAGAGAGUAUGACUAAGCGUACUUGAAGUUUUGUGUACUUGAAUGAACGACAGUUGCAUGACUUCAAAGAAAUCUCAAAGAACAACAAGAGAAGUAAUGAAAAACAUAACAAAUUUCAAGGGCAAGUGGUUCUUUUGGUGAUACUAAGCAAGACAAAGGAGAUUUGGAAGAAGUGCCGGUACUAAUAUUAUAAUUCUAAUGCUAGAACUAGUCAAAAUUUGUGAGUUUUUAGUGGACAACAAAAUUAUUAAGUUAUCUUAUAAAAUGGUAGAAAUUAAGAGGUUAUGCAAUUAUUGUAUCCCGAAGAAAUGCUCCUUUUGCUUAGAUAGGAGGUUAGAUUCUAGAUGUGAAUUGAUUAGUGAUUAUGCUUUAGGCAUAUUUCAAGAAGAGGAAUGGAUCAAUCCUCAGUAUAUCUAACACUUUUUGUAUAGAACUAUUUGAGCCUUUGCUCAUAUAAGUGUACAUCUUUUCCCAAUGAAUACAAAAUCUACCGUUGCAGAAAAAAAAAAUAUCUAGCAAUCUAAAAAAUUGUUGACUCUUAGGAGCUUCUUUUCUUGACUCUUAGCAAGGAAGAAAUACAUUAUUGGAGGGUGAGUUUAAUUCUUGGCUAGAAAAACAGCUUUUUCUUCUCUUUCUUCUCUAACUUAGCUUAGUGUAGUUUAGAUCUAGUCUUUAUUUUCCUUGAAAAAACUUGAAAAAAUCUUAGUAUAACAAUGUAUUUUUGAUAGCAAUGAAGAUGAUGAAACUUGGAAAUCUUGUUUCUUCACUUGAAUGAACAUUUCUUCCUCUAUACUCGCUUUGUUGUUUCAUUUGAUAAUGAUUAAUUUUAUGAUCUUUUUGAAUGUGUUUCAUAAUACUUUUGAGUCAAUUUGUAGAUUGAUUAGUAGAAGUUGUUCAUUUUUUUAUUUUAAUUUGCACCUUGAGUAAUAGAUGAAUUAGUUGUAAUUUUAUCAUUUGACUUGCAAAAUCUCUUUGUUUUGUAGGUAAAAUGAUCAAGUUUAAUUCGAAGUGAAAUGGUGAUCUAACAAAGCGAAGUUUGAGAAGUCAUAACAAUGUCUAAAAGAGGUGGUGCAAUUGAAGAAUGUUUCUUUAAAAAGAAAAAAAAAGAAAGAAAUCCUCGAGGGUUAUUCAGUGGAUUCUGCAAGGGAUUAUGGGCAGAAUGUUAACUUCAAAAAGAAAAGCAGAGAAUUACAUGCUCUGCAUAAUCCCUGGAAGAAUCCCUCGAGGGAUAAGUCACAACUGCAAUUUGCCAACUUAUAUGACUUUUGUUUCUUUUUCCAUAUUUGACAAGACUCAAAGGGACAACUUGUACCAACUUUUGGUGGAUUUAGAAACUUAUUUUGUUGACUCUUAGCAAGAAAGAAACGCAUUAUUGGGGGGAAAGAUUACUUCUUGGCCAAAAACAAGAACAACUUCUUCUUCUCUUUCCUCUCUAACUUAGCUUAAUUAGUGUAGUUUUAGAUCUAGAUUUUAUUUUUCUUAAAGAACCUGAAGAACUCUUAGUGUAACAAAGUAUUUUUGAUGGCAAUGAAAAUGAUGAAACUUGAAAAUCUUGUUUUUUCACUUGAAUAAACAUUUCUUUCUCUUAACUCUCUUUAUUGUUUCAUUAAUGCUUAGUUACAUUGAAAAUUUGAGUUUUAUUGUUAAAUCUAUUAUGUCUAGCUAAAUUUUCUUGUUCUAGGGAUAGAUGAAACUAUUUGUGCCUUAAUUAUGAUUGAAUCUAGUUGAUUAUUGCUAUAUCUACUUGCUAGUUCAUCUAUUCUUGGCUUAACACUUGUGAAUGUUUGAUUGCUAUUUGCAAACCAUAAUAGUUGUUGUUAAUCUAUGAAUAUAGUUGACAAUGAUGGAAAUGGAAUAUGUGGAGCCUAAGGAGUUGGCAGACGAAAGUAAUGGUACACUAAGGUGGAUGUUUUUGGCAUUUAUAGAUCUAGAUUAAGUCUUCACUUGUGACUUCAGCACGAAAGUAGGGAAACUAUAGUGGUGGCUAGAUGGCAAGAGCGAGUUCCGAUGGUUUGAGUGAAAUGCAUCCGUAGCAAGACAAGUGCAUUAGUGAUCACUGAUUAUUUUAUCCAUAAUUAGGUACAUUUAGUAGAUUCUAUACCCUAAAACAUUUGUGUUUGGUUGACUUUCUAUAAUUUGUUAAUUUUUGUUACAUUGUUUUAGCACUGUGGUUAUUUUAUUUAGUUAAAAAUUUUUGAUUAAUUAGAUAACAAAGUGAGUUAAAAGUCUUAACACUUGGAAAUGAUUCUCGUGAAAUCGAUUCUAACUCCCUAGUAAUACGAACCAUGACCUGCAUACUUACAGUAAAGGAGGAAAUUAGGUUAAAAUUUAGCAUGUAUGUUAGAACCUUGUCAACUGCUUUAAGCCAUGUUACAGUUUGUCUUUAGUAGUUUCAAGACUUUAUAGCGUAAAGGUAUCCAUGAAGAUAGUGCCAAAUGAUCAUCACCUAUGUGUUGAAAUAAUUUUAGCAUCUUUUUAUUUUUAGAGCUUUUAGGUGGUAGAUGUUAUAUGUCAUUUUCAAAGAGAGUGAAGUGUUUGAAGCAUUUUAUCGAAUGCCAAAAUCAUUAGCUAUGUAAAAAUACCACAAAGAAUGUAAAAAGUUUGACAUUCCUUUGUUUGAAAAGAGAAGAAACGCUGUUAAACAGUGAAGCAAUACAACGAUGAUAAACAAAUUUGACACUGUUUUGUCUUUAUUGAAAAAGAAAAAAGUACUAAAAGGUUCUUGCAAUAACCAAUUAAGUGAUAAAACACUUGAGAUAAUGCAAAUUUUUCAACUGGCCUAGCAAUAGAUUUUUAGCUUGGCAACAUAAGGUUCUGUAAAAGAUCCUAUCCAUAAAUUUUUAUUCUGUUCAUUCGCAUCGCUACCAUAUCGCCAUGCCUCUCCAUUUCCAGCCUCCAAUAUCUUCAAUAUAUCACCAUUUUGACUCAAUUUAACUAUCGAUCCGUAAGGAUUAACCUUGGUAUCCAGUGAUAUAACUGCAACCCAAAAUUCACCCUUUUGGUUUCUUUUGAUGUUAUCUGGUCUUCCUGGAAGUUUUGCAAAGAUUUCAACUGUACCAGCUUUUGAUGGCUCAAGGCAGUACUUCAGUAUUCUAGAAUUUGUAGUUUCAGCAACUAGCAGAAAAUCACCGUUUUUGCUGAGUGCCACCCCAUUUGGAAGCAUGAGAUUAUUGAGUAGAACUGUUGCUUGAUUAGUUUUUGGAUCAAACUUUAAUAAUCUUCCCGAUUUAUCCCCUGUACUUAUCACUAAAGUGGAAUUUCUGAAAUUUGGAGCACAAUAAUUAGUGUUACUGAUGUUGAGUAUAGAAGAAUAAUAGACCAAAAUAUUUUAUAUGUAUAUAUAUAUAUAUAUAUAUAUGAGCAACAAUGUAUUUCCUUAAAUAGUUGUGACUGAGUGAUGAGACUCAAGACAUUCUAAUCCUAGAUCAUUGUGCUUAGGCAUAUCAAUGGGUAAGGUUUGGAUUUGAUCAUUUAAUUCAGAUCUAGACACAUUAAAUUUAGUUAAAUCCAGACCCUUAUGGGUCUGAAAAGACAAGUCCAAACCUAAACCCUCAUGGAUUUGGGUAUCCAAUGAGUAUCCGUUGUAUUUUUCUAAACACACUAAAGUAAAAAUAUAUAGAUUUAAAAAAAUAUAUAAACACCAUCCGCAUUUUAUUUUCAAAUAAUAAAAUUAAUAUUCAAGAAGUUGAAUGCAAUAUUAUGAACUGAAAAAAUGACUAUUAUCGACUGCUUCUAUUUAUUUUUAAAAUUCAGCUGUAUUUACGUCCAAUCUUUUAUUUGUUUGCAUUUACUUUUUUUCCUUUUUCUAAAGAAUUUUGUACUAAUUACAAUGUUAACUAGGAUUAGUUUGAAAUAAGAAAACAAUCAUGAAAUCUUACUAUAUUCAAUCCAAUGACCAUAGAAUAUUAAAAUAUUUUAUAUAUAUAUAUAUAAUUUAAUUAUAUAUAUAUAUAUAUAUAUAUAUAUAUAUAUGUUUGGGUAAGGUCUGAUAUGGAUUUGAAUUUGGAUAUAGAUUAUAGAAAAUCCAAUACUAUCCAGACCCAUAACUCUUUUAUUGGAUCUAAGUCUGGAUAGCAUUUGGAUAGUGUCUGAAUUUGAUAAAUUAAAUUCAAACCCUAUCCAAAUACAUUGGAUCCAGGUUGGAUCUAGAUAAGAUCCGAUCAAUUGAUAUGUCUAAUUGUGCUAUUUGAACAAGCAUUCGAAUUAAUAGGAGGCUAAGCCAGGAAGGAAUUUUUGUAUUGUCAACUGGUGACACGAUUCUAGUUGAGCUUUUAAAACCUUUUUUUUUUCAAUUUUUCUUGCAAGGAAAGCAUAGAAUUCAAGAAGCGUGGAACUUUUAAAUCCUAAGUCCAAAUUGUAAACUCCAAAUGUCAUCCUCUACGUGUAAUUGGUUUCUGACGAACAAGUGUCUUACUUACGGCUUUGAUAACGCAAGUAGUUUAAAAUCCAUAUUUUGUUGAACAAACUUUUGUUCAUAAUGCAAGAAAGUUUAAACUCUUAGCUGUUCGGCUAUAUUACUGCUUGGUGGGUAGGGCCGUAAGGAAAUAGUAUCCUACAAGGAAUGUAGUAUCCAUUACCUUACUGAAUAUAUAGUGCUGCUGUCCGUGAAAUAUACUACGCCACUAUUUUCAUCAACAACUACAUCGUUGGUGAAUUUGAAAGGAACUCCUUCAGCUUCAUUUGCCAAUGGUGUAGCCAAUCCGCCAUUAGGACCUACUACCAGAAGGCCCUUGUAAGCAUCUGCAAUGUACAACUUACCAGACUUCCGAUUGAAACUUAGACCUAACGGCAGCCCACAUCUUGACUCGGUGGGAAUAUGAUCUUGCGGACCUUCACAACCAUUUCUGUUUCAAAACAGAUCAUCAUUUAAUUGUCUUGGACAAAAAUCAAGAGCACUAAAUAAAACAAGGAUUGAUUUUGUACAUACUGAGCACUUUAUAUUUUGGACAAAAAUAUGGUUGGAGAGAAAAAAAAAAUGUUUCAACAGUUUACCAUUAUAGGGGCAACUCUAUCCCUUACAUGGUUCAAAAUAUAAUCAAAGUUUCAUGGAUUUUUUUUUGUUUUCUUCAUUAUUUAGUUGAUGAAUUUCUUAAACCUACCAUGAGUUACAUAACAUGUAAUGUAAUCACAAAAGAGAAUGUGGUGGAGGGGUUGUGACGUGGGACGGAAAAAGUCAAGGUGUGACCCAAUGAUAAAUGCCAAAUUAAGUUUAAUAUCGCCUAGAAAUUUUUUUUCUUCAUAUAAUUAGAUUUAGUAUCAAUUAGGAAAUAUUUUCCUUCUUUCUAACUAGAUGUAAUAUUUAUUGGAAAUAUAUCCCGGUCCUUUUGAUGUAUUCCACGUUCUUUUGACGUAAAUCAAACAAUAUGAUAAAUUCAUUAACAAUUCCUCCCUUGCAAGAACCAAAAAAAAAAAACACAAUCUAUUAUAAAUUCAUCCAUUUGACAAUGUAUUUUGUGGAUUUUGUUUGCUGCCAAGUUUUUUUUUUAAUCCUUUUCUUAGUAGAAAAAUAGUGAAACGUAAGAAGUCAAAAGGGAAAGAAAUAAUUUGAAUCAAAACUUCAAAGCCUACGGACUUAUUGCAACAAAGCUGGGGUUGCUUUUGUCAUGCAUUAUUUACACCAAACAGAAACUAGGACUUCUUGUCGAUCUAUGUUUCCAGCUACGCUAAUUCAGAAAUGCAAAAAAUUGUUUUGCAAUUUUAGUCUCCAGGUUGUCAUGGUCGAAAUCGAUAUGUACAAAUACUCAAAGUUGGAAAAAUAUUGGGAUAGUGGUUGCGGAUUCUUUGUCACAAAAAAUGUUGGGAAAAUUAUUCUUACCUGUUCGGAGUUGUUAUAGCAAAAUUGGUCCAACGCCUCUCGCUUGAAAGCCUGAUUAUCCGGCCAUCGGAAAUGCCAGUGUAUGGGCCGCCACCGUAUCUAUCAAACACCACACUCUCGGGUCCAGUGGCAUUGAUAAUGGGAAAUUUUUCAGACCCUAGAAUCUGACAAUCUUUUGGUCCAGGACUACAACUCACGACUUCAAAACCAACUGAGAUUGAUACCGCUAUGGUAAGGAUGGUUGAAACUGCCGAAAAGAGCUUGGAACCCAUGGACUUCGGGAAGGUACCUCGAAUGAAAAUCUAAAGGCGGUCGGAAGUGUUUGUUUGCCUUUGGGGUCAGACUAUCAGCUGCUCCAGCUUGAAAUACUUAUAGGAAAGUUUGUAUAUGUAAGGGUCAAAGGAAAAUUAAAAAGUCCACAGUAUGGUAGGAUAGUUCGACUUUUAAAUUCUCCUCUCUUAUUGUCAAGUAAUUUCUUAAUUACGUAAUUCUUUUAAUAGAAAAAGGGAGGAAAUUCAUUAACUAUCAAUUAAAACCGUUUAUUAAUAUUGGAGUUCGUUUGGAUCUAUUUUGAUAGAUCUCAUCAUUAAUAUUGGAGUUCAAAACCAUUUAUUAGCAAAAAACUGUUUAUUAACAAUCCAUUGAUGAAAACCAUUCUUUAUAAAAAAAAAAAACCAAAAAAAUUUUGGAGGAUCACUCCACCAAAUCCCAAUGGGAAAAUUCUGAAUUAGCACUUCCCAUAUGAUAUGAAUUCAUUUGUCUAAUGGAUAAAAAUCAAAGCUUAUCAUCGAUUGAAAUGUUUAAGCAGUUUGUAUUAGAUUAUAUUGUUGCUUGGACAAACAAAGUUUAAGAACGUCACAAUUACUAUUUAGGCCGGCUUGCAUAUGGGCUGUCUAUUUAAACAUUAAGCAUUAAAAUCCACGAGAUGUUUAAAGAAAAAAAAAAUGACGAAAAGAUUCAAAAUCUUACUAUAGGCUACAUGGAGUCUUGGCUUGGAAAACUUUUUUUUUCUUUUUUUUUUUUGCCUUUUUUGAGAAAAUGCUAACUUUGUCUAACAAAGCUAAAAAAGACAAAUUAGUUACUUAAGGGCCUUCUUGGUAAUGUUGGUAUCAUUUCUUUCCUAUUUUCUAGUAUAAAUCAAAUAGAAAACUUAUAUAGUAUUUAAUGGAAAAACUGAAAAUGUGUUUCAUUCGUAACACCAAGUACCUGUGAUUAAAUGCUAUUUAUCAAUUUGGGAUAAUUUCAUAAACCUCCCCUGAGGUUUUAUGAAAUAUCACCUAGCUCCCUUGAGGUUUUUAAAAUCUCACUUAGCACCCAUUGAAUUGACAUUUUGGUAACAUUGGAAGCCCUUCUAACCAAAAGUUAUAUUAAAAAAUUCAUGUUUGAGGAGAGAGAUUAUUUUACUGCCUUUAAUACCCUUAGACUAUAAAAAAAUGAACAUUUUAUAAACCAAGAAAAAAAAAGUACUAAAUUGGAACAAUCUUAAAAGUGAGGAGAUGAAAAUUGGUAAGAUUUUAUAUUACAGCCAAUAGUCACUUCUACAGUAGGAAGAGUUAGGCCCCGUUUGGAACUUGAGUUUUUGCCAGUUUGUCUAAAACUUUACUGUAGAUCACUGUAGAAGUUGUAAAAAAAAUUUUAUAAGAUAGAAAAACUUUUUUCCUUUUCAUUUUCAACAGAUUUCCUUUUAUUUUUUCUUUUUUUUUUCUUUCUUUUCUUUCUUUUUUCUUUUCCUCCCCCCAUCUUCCCGCUUGUUCUCCCUCCCCCUUCCCCCUUCCUCUUCCCCUUCCCCCCCAUGUUCCCUCUCCCGAAACUACCAAUGAAGCAACAAACAGAGAACUUUUUUUCUUUUUUUUUUUUGCCUUUUUUCUCUCCUCAUCUCCAACUCUUUAUCUCUCCCUUCCCCGCUACCCCUCUUCUCCCUCUCCCCUUCCCCCCUCCCCCUUCCCUCACCCGGGGUCUAGCCGAAUCCCUUUACAGAAGCUUGAAUUUUCCCUCUUAGGUGCAGCACCCAAUUUCAAUCCCUCUUAGGUGCAGCACCCAAUUGCUUGAAUUUCCACAUUCGCUGGAGCUCCGGUUAUGCCUGAGCUCGCUGAGAGGAUUAGCAUACAAGGACAAAGUAGCAACAGAAAUUCCCACCUUCGAUUUGCAUUUUUUUCUCCCCCUCUCUUGCCGGACAAAUUAGCAACAGAUUUUUUUUUCAAUUUUCCCUCUCCCCCCUCCUCCCCUUUCCCUGCCACCCUCAUCCUCCCUCAGUGCGAUCUGGUCCCACGACUAGAUCGGCCAGAGGGGAAGGGUGGUGGGGGAGAGAGAGGGGAAGAAAAAAACGGGGAAGGUCAGAUCGGAUAAAGGGGGAGGAAGAGGGGGAGAGGGAGAAAAGGGGAAAAAAACAAGAAGACUGAUGCCGGAAGAGGUGAUCGGCGCCAGAACCGGCAACGGAGGUGGCGGCUGGCGAUAGAGGUGGUGGUGGGUUGGCAUGGGGGAGGAAGAAGAAGAAAAAAGGAAGGGAAUUUUUUUUUGUGCGUUUUGGGUAUUUUGAAGUGUGUAGUUAAAAAACUUUUGUGAAGGUUUUUGGGGUUCCUAUAGUAAAAGUUGUUAAAAAAUUAGUUUUAUACAAACAUGGUAAAAAACCAAAGUUCCAAACAAGCCCUUAGUAAAAGCAAAUACUAUUUUUUAAACUAUUUCUACAAAUAGAACCCUUCAUAAUGUUGAAGGUAAUCAGCAUGUAAAAUCAAACAUUUGAGCAAAACCAACUUAGUAAUAGAUGAAAUUCAACUUUAAUAUCAUACAAAAAAUUUACUCAAAAUAGACAAACUUUUUUUUAUAGGUGUGAAAUAUGAAAAAUUUAUUAUAGAAAAAGUCAGAAUUUGAAAAACUAUUCGGAGUUUCAAUUACUUUAUUACUCUUGCACUCUACAUGAAUAAGAAUAAAUAAAUAAAGUUGUGAAACACCAAAAAAUGGAAAAAAUAAAAAGAACCUGCAUCUACUCUUCUCCAAAUGCAUUGAAUAUUUCAUAUGUAUGUAUGUUUGUAUAGACAUUGCUAAAGAAAAGUAGGAAAUUUAGAGAAAGAAAAACAAGUUUAGAAAAUUUAAAUAUGAGGGUAUUAUUGACAAUUCAUCACCUUUGAUAUUAGUAUAUGGCCUUACUAUCACUUCAAGGGUGCUAAGUGAGAUUUUGAAAAGCUUUGGGGAGCUAGAUGAUAUUUCAUGAACCCUCAAGGGAGGUUUCUGAAAUUAUCCCUAUCAAUUUAUGGAUGCAACUGAAAUUUACAACACCAGUUGGUGCGUUAAGACGGCAUGCUCUGAAAGGCAUAUUGGGUUUUGUGUGAGGGUAGGGGGAGGGUGGGUAGGCUUGUUAGUAGGACCAGCUAGCACGAAUUCAAGCCAUUUAGCCUGCUGAAAUAGGGUUAGGCUUCACUUGAAUUAGGAUUGGACCGAGUUUGGAUCUAAAGUUAGUGCCAAAUUAAAAAUAAAGUUGGGUUGGACCAAAUUAGGUUCAACCUAAAUGAGGCUUGAUAAGAUUAAUUAAUAACAUCAAAUGCUUGCUAAUGGAUGUUUGGCACUCCCAUUUUUUAGGUCUUUUAGAGGGCCAAAUUUUUUUUCUAAAACAUCACUUAUGUAAUCAUCUAAAACACAAGGCCAAUUUGGAUGGUGUGUUUUAAAGAAGUUUGUCAAAAUUUUUAUUGUGAUUUACUGUAGAAUUUUUACAAUAACUUUCAUAUUUUUUGAGUAUUGAGAAGAUGGUUGUAAAACCCAACCACUGAUUGCCAUCACACCUACUCCAUACUACCAGCAAUCUCCAUCACAAUAUCAUACCCAUCGGAGACGGGGCAGGGACGGUCAUCAGAAAGACCGUCCCGAAAUAGUGCAUGACGGGGACUUGGCCCAAAAAAUUUUUACGGUCCAGAUCACUUCUUGUACAUCGUUUUUAACAACGUGUGUGGGGCCCACAAAAUUUUGUUCUAAAAUUACAUGUUAUGCAAAUAAAGUUGCCCCGUGUGAAAAACAAAGUUACGCAGUGUGCAAAAUGCACAAAACCGCUAGGAACGGUUGCACCUGCAACCGUUCUUGCCCGUGGUCCCACACGCAUCCCCUCUCCUAGCCUGCCACCUACGCCUACAAACAACCUUACUACCACUCCUACCAUCCAACUCUUUUUCCUUCUCCUCGCCUUCUCAACCUUUUCUCGCCUCCUGUUCCUCCUGUUCGUCUUUUUCCUUCUCCUUGCCUCAUCUUUCUAAUCUCGCCACUCUACUAUAAAUCAAAUAGAAAACUUAUACAGUAUUUAAUGAAAAACUUAAAAUAUGUUUCAUUCGUAACCCCAAGUACCUAUGAUUAAAUGCUAUUUAACAAUUUAUGGGAUGCAACUGAAAUUUACUACACAAGUUGGUGCGUUAAGACGGCGUGCUCUGAAAGGCAUAUAGGGUUUUGUUUGAGGGUAGGGUGAGGGUGGGUAGGCUUGUUAGUGGGACCAGCUAGCACGAAUUCAAGCCAUUUAGCCUGCUGAAAUAGGGUUAGGCUUCGCUUGAAUUAGGGUUGGACCGAGUUUGGAUUUAAAGUUGGUGCCAAAUUAAAAAUAAAGUUGGGUUGGACCAAAUUAGGUUCAACCUAAAUGAGGCUUGACAAGAUUAAUUAAUAACAUCAAAUGCUAAUGGAUGUUUGGCACUCCUAUUUUUGAGGUGUUAGAGAGGGCCAAAUUUUUUUCUAAAACAUCACUUGUGUAAUCAUCUAAAACACAAGGCCAGCUAGGAUGGUGUGUUUUAAAGAAGUUUGUCAAAAUUUUUAUUGUGAUUUACUGUAGAAUUUUUACAAGGACUUUCAUAUUUUUUGAGUAUUGAGAAGAUGGUUGUAAAACCCAACCACCGACUGCCAUCACACCUACUCCAUACUGCCAGCAAUCUCCAUCACAAUAUCACACCCAUCCCCUCUCCUAGCCUGCCACCUACGCCUACAAACAACCUUACUACCACUCCUACCAUCCAACUCUUUUUCCUUCUCCUUGCCUCCUCAUUCCAUUCUCGCCACUCUUUCUCCUCAUCCUCCUCUUCUUCUCCCCCCACCUCUUUAUCCUCUCUCCAGCAUCUUCUUCUUCCCCAACUACUGCUAUUUCUCAACCAAAUCAAGGAGGGAGGGAAAAGGGUGGGCCGGAGAAAGAGUACGGAGCUAAGAGAGGAAAGACAGAAGGAGAAGUAGGUGGAAGAAAUAAAGGAUAAGGCAAGAACGAGGAAGAGAGGGAAAGAAAAAAGGCACGUGACAAUGGUGGGGGAGGAAACCGCAGUGGCGGAUGAUAGUAGCAAUAGGGAAAGUAGUAACGAAGGGAUGGCAAUGGUGGUAGUUCGGAUAUGUUUUUCUAGUGUAUUUUUUAAAAAUUUAUGGGUUUUUUAAAGGAUAAUUGUAGAUGGAUCCGUAUGGAUUAGAUUUUUUUAGGAUUUUUAAAAAAACUAUACUAUAACAUUGUAUUUUUAAAAAUUUCUACUUUAGGUGAGUCCACAUAGGUUGGGUGUUUUGAGAAUGUAUUUUAGAGUGCUUUUAAAAUUAAAAAUUUUAUUAGAGUAUUUUUAAAAAUUUAUUAAAUAUUCACUACCAUUAUAAGAUACCUUCUACCACCGCCCCAUCCCUACUCCCUCUCUACUGCCUUCACCAUUCCUCCCCCUUCUCUAUUCUCCUUCUUCCUCUUCCUCCCCCUCCCUCCUCCAUCUUUCUCCUUCUUUCCCUUCCUCUCCCAUCUCUUCCCCUCUUUUGGGGAGAGAGGAGGAUAGAAAGAGAAAAAGGGAGAAGAGAUGAGCGGGAAUGGUGGUGGCAAUAGAAAUGGGAAGGUAGUGUGUGAUGGAUGAAAGAAGAAAAAGGAGGUUUGAUUUAUUUUUUUUUUAAUUUUUAAAUAUUUUGUUAGGUAUAUUUGAAAUUGUUGUAUAAGGAGUAUGUUGUUAUAAUAUUGUAUUUGAAAAUUUUGAUUAAAAAAUAAGGCAAUCUACACAUAUCCAAAGUUUUAGGAAAAAAUUUGUCUUUCUGAAAUAGGCCUAAGUACGUACCCGACAAGUUUUAGAAAAACAUUAAAAAGACCACCACCAAUACCAACACUUCACCACCACUGCCACCAUCUACCACCACCGCCACCGUCUACCAGUACCACUUUCCUCCCUUUUACUCCUCUAAUGACUUUCUCUCUCCCAGCUCCUUCUUCCUUUUCCCUUCCCUUUGUCCUCUCCUUUUCUCCUCCCUCCUCCUUCCUUUCUUCCUGUGAUCCGUUCCCCAUAGAAAAUUCAAGCUAGCCGGAUCUUGACUUGAUGUGUACUUGAAUAAAUGACCUCAGAUAAGGCCUCAGACACACGUGAGAUUUCAAGGCUUGACUUUGGACUAGCAUGUACGACCUUUUUGUUGCAUGGGCAUUGGUGUAAUAGAAAUACAAUGUAAUAAAGGAUGGAAAUUAUGUGGAAAUAAGAAUAAAUGAUAUACAUCUUUGAUCUGUUAAAAUUUAUAUUUAGAAAACAACCAUGUUUAAUGCUCGAAAAACAAUCCUGAUUCUUAUAAAUGUUUCUCGAUUUCAUAAUAUACAAAAACUUUAAUAAAAGAAUAAAAAACACAAAACCUAAACGUAAUUUUAUUGCCCUUUAGUUCCAAUAUUUUACUCCAUUAGAUAUAUUUGACAUGGAAUAUACAGCAGAAGUUGCAAUGUACAUAAUUAUAGAUGUGCAAGAAAAGAAGCUUCAUUACUGGACAUGUUGGCAUGAUUACCUAAAAAUGACUCUCGUAUCAUCAUAGUCACCAUAAUUUUGAGAGUUACAUACAUGCACAAAAUCGUACUUUUACCUUCAAAUACUUGAGAUAUUAACAAAACCAAAAUUUUCACUUCUAACGCCUUGAGAUAUUAAAAAAUAAAAUAUUAUUAAAAUUUUAAGGACAAGGAGAGAUACAAGCAGAAAUUUACCAAUUAAAGCAUAUUUUGGGGCAUUCAACCAUAUAUUGUUUUGAUGCAAGCAUCAUUUCUAACGGCAAUUAAUGUACAAGAGACAUUUGUUUAUUUGAUAAAAGUUUUGAUAUUUAAGGUGUUGACUGUCAUUUGGUCAAAAGUUAUAGGGUUUGUUUGAUAAUUAAUUUAAUCAAAUCUCAAGGAAGGUAAAUGUAGUUAACAUUUAAAUUCAAAUGAUAACAGAAAUAAUGAACAAGUAUAGGUGACAUAACGUGUAUCUAAAGCUUCAUACUUAGGUGUAAUAACAAAUAGGGUUACAAAUUAAAUUAGCAAUUGCAAAACAAUAAAACAAAAAUUCAAAUAUAAAAAAAAUGACAGCAAAGUAUUAAAAAUUAUACCUUUGUUCACUCCAUUUCCAAAGGGUGGUGGUCUUUGGCAAGAGUAUCAAAUAGUGAGACUUUUGAAAGAAUGUUGUUAGUGAAUGUAAUCUUUAAAAAGUUAUUCAGUGAAUGCAACUUUUUGAGGAAUAAAUGCUUAAAAAAAUUAAAACACGCAUUCUAUGAUGCAACUUUAAGGGAAACAUUGCAUUAAGCAAAUACGUGUUUCAUCCUUUAGGAUGAGGUAUGAAAACUGUUGCCUUUUGAGGUAUGAAAACCCGAUUGCCACCCUUAAUCAGUAUGCAUUUUAAUAUAGGGACCAAAAGUAUAGAACCCAAAAUUAAAAUAUUAAAAAUAUAAAAUCAUUAAAGUUUGAUUGGCCAAAUAAGCUUUUCUGCCUUUUAAAAACCCACAUCUUUGAGAAUUAACUCCUCUACAUGCAUUAAGACCUCUUUCGUAGUUCCUAGGGUAAGCUGGCAAGUUCAUUGUUAUCUUCUACAAGCAUUGCUCUUAUGCUUAGAUUUGUCCUUGGACGGGGAAGACUACAAUUUUGUGUGGGUGGGCUUGAGAUUUUCAAGACUAUUGACCUUUUUUGAAGACAGACUCCGACUUCCUUUGAUUUUAUGUAAUCAAAUAUCUUCAGUUUCGUGCAAUUACUAUAUAUAAGCUAUAAACCACAUGUCAUAUCUGCUACUCACAAAGUUACCUCGUCCUGUGCCGAUCAAGGUUACAUCAUUUUAUGUGAAUUUAGAAGAAAACAAUUGCAAAAUCACAAAAUUCAUCGUUGUAUGUUCUGUAGAUUAAUUUUUUCAAAGAUAUCUGGCAAUUUUUCUAUGUUUUGCUUCAUAUUCGAUAAUCAGAAAAGUCAAAACAAAAGAUUCAAAAACUCCUGUUUGUUAAUACACAGAGUGCGGACCUAACCAAGAAGUGCUAUGCGUCUAAAGUCUAGACGAGUCAUAAUUGGAGUUUUUAAACCUAGACUGGAUAGGCUGAUGGUUAUUUUCAUUUUUCAACAAUUCUACUAGGAGGAGAGCUUCUAGUUCGAUAGCAUAGGACGCAUUUUUCCUUCACCUACUUAAAAGUGUACUUGCUUUAUUUAUUUAUUUUAGUAGGCAGAGUUGGUUAAAGAAGCUAUGAGGAAAAAGGGAUUUGAAUGUAAAACCUCUAAUUUUCUUUUUCCUUCACUUUCUCGGUAGUUAAGAGUAUACUUCCAUGUCUGUAUAUUUUGGUCCACCAAAACGUCUAUUACAGCUCUUACUUUUCUUUCUUUUCCGCUGAUGUUGAUUAGUUAUUCUAAGCUUUCCGAUAGUUGCCCAUAUGCUCCAUAAUUUUUCAAAGUGCAACAGUCUCUCCUAAGAUUUGUGAUAGUUUUUAGAUAAAUCUAGCCUGCUACUUUUGAAUAAUUGUGAACUUAUGAGGUUUCUAAUCAAAUUGCUAACGGUCUCCUCUACUGUUGAUCCUGGAAAACAGCAAAAAGAAAUUAAAAAAUUAAAGUUGCUUGCAAUUAACGUCAAAGUGCCCUGAUUAAGAAAGUUUUGAUCCAGUGCUAAGGUUGAAGCGGCGCGUCAAAGUGGCGCGUGACCAUUCGCGUUCCCGUUACCAUUAGCAGCAUGUCCAUUCCCGUUAGGGUUCUCCAUACCUACAAAACAGCCAAAACUUUUAAAGUUAGACUUUAGCACCAUUAACCUAAUCAAUUAUACUUAAAGACACCUAAGUAUCUCAUUCCUAUUCUUAGGAAUAAAAUACCUAACAAUUCUCUCAAAUACAUUCUAACCUGACGCUCUGAUACCACCAGUGGCGGCCCCACUUCCCUCUAAGGUGAACCAAAGGGUUGGCGGGUCACUUGCCUAUCUCUCGCCAGGACUCACUCACUCUAGCAACUAAUUUUACCAAAUAUAAAUCGAAAAUAACCCUUACUUCUCGAGCAAGUUAAGUACUUAAAUAAAUCAUACAAUUCAACUUAUACAACCCAAAAAUACAAUUUCAAGUACCAACGAAAACGUCGAGAUUAAAAUACUUAAUUUACAAUUUAAAAUUCCUAAUCCAGAGCACAGAAGCACCACAGGAUUCACAUUUUCCCAAAGGCACAAAAAAAAUUAUCCAAAAGAUAUUAAAGUAUCUCCCAAAGUACAAUUACAAAAGUGGGCAUUCAAAAUAUAACAUUUCUUUUCUAGUUCUCCAAGACUUCAUGCAUUUCAGAACCUGUCAAGGAAAAAUAAAUUGGAAGGGAUGAGCCAAUAACUCAGUGGUGUCUCGAAAAAUGCAAUUCACAUAGGGCAAUUUAACAAGUACCAAUUUAGGAAAACGAAAUAACAUGACAAGAAAAGGAUACGGGGCUCUCAGGAGCCAAAGUUCUCGCGCUCGAUCAGGUAAUUUAUAGUAGUUGACACUCCAUCAACUUUCACUACCUAAUCUCCAUGUAGACAUUUUUCCUAAUCUACACGUCUCCUAGCAACGACUUCCCCCUUAUUUUCGGACCCAAUUCCAACACGAAUUUUGCAAGCACUUUUACCAAGACGGCAGAGAGGUACCUCCCACUCUAAUAGAGCGUGGUACGUGCAUCCGUUUGGUUUAUUUAGUCGACGAGACCACGCUCCAAUCGACAUUGCAACACUUGUACUUGUGGCAUUUCACGCAAUCACAUAGCAUAUAAUCUUUCGUGAUAUCUCUAGCAAGUACUGUUAACAAGUAGUUCAACUAGCAGUUAAACACGAUUCAUGCAAGAGACACUCACCUCAAGUGAAGUGUCUAGAAUUCCAAACUCUGAUCGAGAUUGUGCUCUUCACCAACUCCUAAAAUCAUACAAAUAAUUCACAUAAAUUUCCACUUUUGAGUUGGCGAAUUUAACUCGAAUCAACUAACAUUUAAUUUCAUUCAAAAAUCCCAAACUAGCAUUAAUCGUUUUCUCAAAGUGAAAUCCACAAAUUUCGAGUGAAAUUAAAUUUUGAGGUUUUCUUUAAAACCAAAAACUUGCUAAAUUCGUCAAAUAUUCCAAUAACCAAGUUCUAGAGUCAUAUAAACAAUCAACACCACUUUGGUGUCACAAAUUGAGAAAAAAAAUCACAUUUAACCAUUUGGAGGAAUUUUUCCCUCUAAUUUUUUCCAAAAAUAUUUUGAAAAAUUCCUUUAAGAGCAAAUCAUAUAAACCAAGUAAAACUAUUCGUUGGAAUUUCUAUAAAAUAGAAACUCCUUAGGUUUGCCAAAUUCCAUUGACCAACUUGGUUCAAGAAUUUUCAUGAAGGCAAAAACUUGAGUUUUCAAGAAAAUUUCCAAAUUUGGCAUAUUUCUCGAAAUAGAGCAUUGGUCUAAUAAAAUUCAAGGUUAUUGACUCGAAGUGGAUCUAGUAACAAAGGUUAAUGCGAGAAAACAUUUUCGGGACAACUUUAGUCCACAUUUAAUCAAAACGAAAUCCAAACGUCAAAAUCCUUUCUAAUUUCAAACAAAAUUUCUGUUUUGGGUAGCCUCGUGAAGAAUAAAAUUUUGGUCCACUUUUUGGACGUAAACUCUACUAGAUUUUUGUCCCAAAUUGAGCUAUACACACCCCUUAACUAAACACAAGUCAAAUUGGGUUCAUGCUAACGUGAAAAUCAUUCAACAUGUCUCAUGCAAAGCUGGACAAAUUUCCAAGUGCAUUCGGUACAAGCAGUCCAUUUUGUCUUCAAUUUGUCCAAAAUUUUUCAACUACUCAAAAGCUACAUUUUUACCCAAACAAUACUUCACAUAUAGUUUAACAUGUUUACAGCUCAAAUGGUUCAAAAACUUGUCAAAACCAAACCCCAAAAUUCGCCCAAAAAUCUGGAAAUUUCCAGAAUUUUUUUCGGACAGCUCAAGGGGCAUUUUUCUCUUUGAUUUUUUUCAAUGAAAUUUCCCAUUGUACCAAAGCUGCAUUUUCACCAAAACUACUCUACACAUAUAGGUGAACAUAUACGUGAUUUAAAUAGUUCAAUAACUUCACAAAAUCCAGCUCAAAAUUCAGGUAAAAAUGGAAGAAAAUCAAGCCUGUUUGUGCGGCUAUAGCAGAGCAGAAUUUUCUCCUCUUUGUGCUCAACGAUUUUCAACUUAUAACUCAUACUUUAAGUCCAUAACAAUCACAACUAAUUAGUCUAACCUCCCAACAAGCAAUCUAGUUCAUUACCUAAGCAGAAUUUGCAAAACAAGAACCGGUAACAAAGUUGGAAAAUUGCUCCCUCAUCCAGCCAGCACCCCAUUUUCAUUCUUAAAAUUUUUUUCAACAUUUAACCACCACAAAACACACAUAUAAACACAUAAAACACCUCUAGCUUCAUCAAUCAUUAGUUUAGAGGAUCAGCAACCCAACAAGUUUCACCAACGCAAGCUAAAAUUUCAAGAACCAAAAGCUGUAAAAAUCUGAAAUUCUGCUAAGUGGUAGGCGGAAGUUUUUGGGUUACCUUCUGGUGGUUGUUUACUAGCUAAAUGUAGUGCCUAGUUCCCCAAGUUUGCUCUUAGAAUCAAAGAAGUCAGCUGGCACCCUUGCACUCUGUUUUUCCGCUUGUCUAACCUGUCACCGCAGCAGCACAGCAGCGACCGAAGAUGAAGAGGGCUGGGGUUCUGUGGUUUUUGGUGAGUUUGGGGUGGUUCUGUGGUUGGUGGAAGGAAGAAAAAGGAAGCUGGUUUUUCUCCUUCACCCUGGCCCGAACAACCCAGCAGUAGUAGCAGCGGCAGGAGCAGCGAGAGUAGCAGCAACAACAACGAUCUUCUCCUUCCUCUUGCUCGAUCGAGGCAGCAGCAAAGAGUGAAGGUUGAUGCUGGAAAUAGAAGAUGAAGGUAGGAGUUGAAGGUUGGUGAAGAUGGAGGAUCGGUGGAAGCUGUGGAAGAGCAGCGGCUCCUGUUUCUUUCUUGCACCCGAAGAUCAUAAUUUGGAGGGAAGAUAUGAACGUGAAAGCUGGGAUAAGAUAGGUUGAAAAUGAAGGUAGGCUAAAGUUAUAGGUUUGUUGACUUUUGGGCCUGCCAUGAAGGGUGGGGAAAUUUUGAAUUGAAUCGCGUUUACGCGCGAAAAUUUUAUCUAAUGGUAGGAAUUCCCCAUUUAACAUUUCCUCGACUUAGUUGUACAUUUUUAUAACCUCUACACACCCUACAUUUCAACUUAAGGCUACAUUGCGCGUCAGUGCGUAAAAAUUCACCCUCAUUCUUAGCCGAACGCGAACCGUCAAAUAAAUUUUUAAAAAUUCAUGUAAAUUAAAAUAUAGCAUUUAUAUAAGUGAAAACAUCAUUAAUAAUAUAAAUAUACAUUAUUAAAUAUAAAUACAUAUUAUUUAAUAAUUUCAACAUUUAAAUAAUAUUUUGAUUUUAAUUUUCAGAAAUUAAUGCAAUUUUGAGAUCCUCACAUCCUUCCCCCCUUAAAAGAAUUUUGUCAUCAAAAUUCUUACCUAUUCAAACGAAUAACUCUGGGUAUUGGUUCUUCAUGUCCUUCUCUACCUCCCAAGUUGCCUCCUCGACGUCGCGAUUUCUCCACAAGACUUUGACUAAGGCAAUCUUCUUAUUUCUCAAUUCUUUAAUUUCUCGAUCCAAAAUCUUAAUUGGUCGCUCCUCAUAACUCAAAGACUCGUCUACUUUAACUUCAUCUAACUGAAUCACAUGACUUGGGUCGGGAUGAUAUUUCUUGAGUAUAGAUACGUGGAAGACAUUAUGAAUCCUGCUCAUACUAGGAGGUAAAUCCAGCUGACAAGCUACUUUUCCAACUCGUUAAAGAAUUUCAAAGGGUCCAAUGUACCUCGGCUUUAAUUUCUUUCCCUUCUUGGAUACUACCCCUCCUUUCAUAGGUUUCACUCUUAGAAAGACUUUGUCCCCUACGUCAAAUUCCAAGUCUUUUCUUAGGUAAUUUGCGUAACUCUUCUGCCGACUUUGAGCAGUUUGAAGUCUCUCCCUAACCAGUUUAACCUUCUCAUAAGCUUCUUCGAUCCAUGGAAUAGCUGUCGGGUCUAAAACUCUCUUCUCUACUACUUCAUCCAAAUGAAUAGGGGAUCGACACCUUCUACCAUAAAGCGCCUCAUACGGUGCCAUUUGGAUUGAAGCCUGAUAACUGUUAUUAUAAGCAAAUUUUGCUAAUGUCAUGUACUGGCUCCAAUUCCCUUCGAAAUCUAAUAUACAGGAUUUUAACAUGUCCUCAAGGGUUUGUAUGGUUCUCUCCGACUGUCCAUCCGUUUGUGGAUGAUAUGCAGUGCUCAACUUCAACUUAGUCCCCAAAGUCUCCUGAAAUUUCUACCAAAAGCGGGAAACGAAUCUAGGGUCUCGAUCGGAGACUAUACUUACAGGAAUUCCAUGCAAUCUCAUAAUUUCUUCUGUGUACAACUUGGCUAGUUUCUGCAAAGAGUAACUCAUAUUCACCGGUAAGAAAUGUGCAGAUUUAGUAAGCCUAUCCACUAUCACCCAAACCGCAUCAUGUCCCCUUUGACUUCUAGGUAAACCCGUCACAAAAUUCAUGGUAAUAUGCUUCUAUUUCCACUCAGGAAUUUCUAAAGGUUGUAACAAACCAGAAAGCUUUUGAUGUUCUGCCUUAACCAGCUGAUACACUAGGCAAGUCUGUACAAAUCUUGAUACAUUUUGUUAACUUCUGGGUGAAUAGUAUACUUGGAUCGAUGUUACUCCUCUAGAAUUUCUCUUUUCAAACCCUCUUCACUAGGUACUACUAUUCGAUGCCUAAAUCUCAAAAUGCCUUCAGGUCCUAGCUUAAAAUCUAGGGUUUCCCCCCUUCUCACUUUCUCCAAAUAACCUUGUACUACCGGAUCCUUCCCUUGAGACUCCUUAAUUCUUUCUAACAAAGGGGAUUUUAAGGAUAGAUUUCCAAACAUGAUUUACAACUUUUCUAAACGAGAAUUCCAACCACUCGCUUCUUCUAACAUAUCUCAUUCUCUCACCAUUAGACCCGCUACUUGAGCCUUUCUAUUUAGUGCAUCUACAACCACAUUUACUUUCCUCGGGUGAUAAUUGAUUGAACAAUCAUAAUCCUUAAGAAAUUUUACCAAACGCCUCUGUCGCAAGUUCAACUCCUUUUGUGAAAACAAGUACUUAAGCCUCUUAUGGUCGGUGAAUAUCUCAAAUGUCACCCCAUACAAGUAAUGUUUCCACUUCUUCAAAGCAAAAAUAACAGCGGCUAACUUUAGGUCAUGGGUCGGGUGAUUCAUCUCAUGGGGUUUCAAUUUCCUAGAAGUAUAAGUCACAACUUUUCCCUUUUGCAUUAGAACACAGCUUAACCCUUCUUUAGAAGCAUCGGAAUAUACUACAUACCCAUCAACUCCCUCAGGUAGGGCUAACACUGGAACCAUAGUCAAUCGCCUCUUCAAUUCUUGAAAGCUCGCUUCACAUUUAGGGAUCCAAAUGAACUUAUAGUUUUUCUUAGUUAACUCCGUCAUUGGCCCAACAAUUUUUGAGAAAUCUUUAUAAAACGACGGUAAUAACCCGUCAAUCCCAAGAAACUUCUAAUUUCAGUUGAAUUCUCUGGUUGUUUCCACAAAGUAACUGCCCCCACUUUAGUUGGAUCCACUGUGAUUCCAUUCUUAGAAAUUCUAUGACCCAGAAAAGAAAUUUCUUCCAACCAAAAUUCACACUUACUGAAUUUAGCGUAAAGCUUGUGUUCCCUCAACACUUGUAAAGCUAUCUCCAAGUGCUUGGCGUGAUCCUCUCGGAUCUUAGAAUAUACUAGAAUAUCAUCUAUGAAUACCACCAUAAAUUGGUCCAGAUAUUUAUUAAAGAUUCUAUACAUUAGAUCCAUGAAGGCAGUUGGGGCAUUGGUUAACCCAAAGAGCAAUACUGCAAACUCAAAGUGCCCAUAUCUAGAAUUAAAAGCAGUCUUAGGUAUGUCUUCCUUUUUAAUCCUCAAUUGAUAGUACCCUUGUCUCAAAUCUAACUUAGAGUACACCACUGAUCCUUGCAAUUGGUCAAAUAAUCCAUCAAUCAAGGGCAAAGGGUACUUAUUCUUAAUAGUUACCUCAUUCAAAUCUCGAUAGUCAAUGCACAAUCUCAAACUCCCAUCUUUUUUCUUUACAAACAAAACUGGAGCUCCCCACGGUGAGUUACUUUCCUUAAUAAAACCUCUUUCUAGUAGGCCCUGCAACUGGAUCUUUAGUUCUUUCAACUCCGCAGGAGCUAUUCUAUAAGGAGUCUUUGAAAUUGGGGCUACUCCUGGAACCAAGUCAAUCUUAAACUCUAUCUCCCUUUCAGGUGGCAAAGAUGUUAAUUCUUCCGGGAAGACAUCGAGAAAAUCUCGCACGAUUGGCACAUUUUCUAAUUUCACUUGGUCACUAGGGGCGUUAAUUAAGAAAGCUAAGAAACCCUGGGCUCCCUUGUGAAGCAUUUUCCUAGCUCGAAUCCCUGAAAUCAAAGCAGACGAAGCUAAUCUACCCCUUACAUCUAGCUUGAGAGUUGCCUCACCUGGGAUGCAAAAUUCCACCACUUUAUCUCUACAAUCUAGCUUAGCAUGGUGGUAAGACAAAAAGUCCAUUCCUAUAAUCACAUCAUACCCCUUAAGGUCCAAACUCACCAAGUCAACUAGCAUUUUUCGCUCCCCAAUCCAAAAUUCACACUCCUUAUACACUAAACUAGUGAGCAUGCUCAUAUUAUCCGUAGGAGUCCUAACUUCCAAAUCAUAGGGUAAUCGUACAGCUUUACAUCAAUUCCACACAUAAAAGCAGGAUUAACAAACGAAUGAGUCGCACCGGGAUCAAUUAAAACCUUAGCUAAUCGAUGAAAGAUUGGAAGUGUACCUUCGACUACCUCCGAAGGGUCAAGUACAGGUUGACUAUCUAGGACAUAAACCUAGCCGGGACCUUUGGCCGACUCCCUCCAGAAGUAGUGUGCCUAGAACUUGUGGCACCUCCUUGGCUUCCCCUAUUCUCGGAAAUCCUAGAGCAAUUAGCAAUUUGGUGCUCAGCACUUCCACACUUGAGGCACUUCUCAUCCUUUCUCCAGCACUCAUUUGCAGUAUGAUUGGCUUUCCACAGUAACCACAGGUUAUCUGAGGGGUUGACACUUGUACACCUUGUGGAGUACUCCUAGGGGGUCCCCUUCCACUUUGACCUCCUCUCACUCUAGAUGCUCUCGCCCCAGAGCCUCUAGCUCCAACACCCCUUGCUAAAGCACCUCUCGAUGCACUAGGGAUCCUCUCGAUGCACUAGGGAUAUUCACUACCCCAGUUCCUCUACCCAUCUUAGACGGUGGGGCGCUUGUUGAAAUUGGAUCCCUGCUACCACUAGGGGCAUUUUUUUUCUAGCAAAGAAUGACCUAGAUUGGCCUCUACCCGUCUCAAACCUCUGAGCUUUCUGUACGGCAUCACUAUACGUGUUAAUUUGAGCAGUUGCGAGCCCCUCUUGAAUCUCCACAUUGAGCCCUUGCACAAAUAUCCUAAUGUGUCUCUGCUCAGUGGCUAUCAGGUCAGGGGCAUAACGGGCUAAUUUGGUGAAGUUGGUCUCAUACUCUGCUACACUCAUGACCCCUUGUUUGCACUUAAUAAAGUCAUCCUCCCUUUUCUCUUGGACUAGAGGUGGAAGAAAUUUAGCAUUAACUCACGGGUGAAGUUUGUCCAAAUACUAGGGGUACGAUCUCUAUCCCACUUAUCCUUAAUUAGAUUCCACCAAGAUCGUUCAGCUCUCUGAAAUUGAAAUGACGCAAAAGUCACCUUCCGCGUCUCAGUGUAAUCCAAGGUGGCAAAAAUAUCAGAUAUUCUCUCCCACCAUCCCUCAGCUAUUUCAGGCUCUGGCCCACCUUGAAACUUAGGCGGCCCAAAUUUCAGGAAUCUCUCCAAGGCCCUAUCUUCAGUAUCUACCUGCCCACCAGGUUGUUGAUGCACUGGUCCAGGACUUUGACGGUCCGUCAAACGCUCUAGCACUUCGGUUAUCCUAUUAAUAGCGGUGGUCAUUUGAUCUCCGCCCCUGCCCUCGAGUCCCAGAUUUUGGUUCACUUCCGACGCUCUAUCGCCCCCUUGAUCACGAAGGGGUUCAGUCCAUCUCCCUCGACUUCGGCCUCGGCCUCUACCACGGAGAUCCAUACCUAGUUAUGCCUAAUGCAAGACAAGAAGUAAGUAUACAGAAAUUUACGCAAAGUUUAAAGAGCAACGCAGGAAAAUUACAUAAAAUUGAGAAACAAAGCAGAAAAUUAUGCCAAAUGAAGAUCAACUUGAGGGCGAUAAAAAUAACCACAACUAACAUAUAUAUUAACAUUCGAAAUUCCUACAAUUAGCAUUUCGUUGGGAUUUUACGAAAAUAUAGCACAAAGGUGCUACAAGGUGCAACCAGUCAUUCAUAAUCAAAAGAAGUGCAACACCACAAAAGCAAGCCAUACAGUUACAAAAAUACAAUGCCUAAGAGUUAGCACCAUCCCAACCAAUGUUUACAGAUUACAAGUCAAAAGAGAGUUUAACUAAGCCUAGUCCUCAGCGGGACCAUCAGAUGGAUUCCUCUCAUCAGGAUCCUCUUCUGGAUCCUCCUCCGGGUCCUCCUCUGGAUCCUCCUCAAUACUAGGAGCUACCUCUAAGACCUCGUCCAUCACCUCAUCCACCAGCAUGGUACCAUCUGCUAGUAUCCCAGAGGCUCGCUCAUGAACCAUGUCUCUCAUCCAAGCCAGACUGUCCCUCGCUCUCUGCAGCUCCUCUCGGUCAGCCUCAACCUUAGCUCUCACCUCUAUCACCCGUCCAGUCAGCUCUGUUACCCUAUUCUGCAGAUGAGUCACCAUGACAUCUAACUCAUCCACGUCCUGAAUCAGGGUCAGGUUGAAAUUCACCAACUAGCGACGCUCAUCGUCUAUAGCCAGAACUAAGCGGUUGGCGUAGGAGAAAGUCAACCUACAGUCACAUUUGGGAACUCGGGUGGCGGGCGAGUACUGGAGGCGAGCUCCACCACCCAGAACUCGGUAUGAAAUAGGCCUAAGAGGCGGUGCGUGACUAUUCGCGUGCCCGUUACCAUUAGCAGCAUGUCCAUUCCUGUUAGGGUUCUCCAUACCUACAAAACAGUCAAAACUUUUAAAGUUAGACUUUAAGACCAUUAACCUAAUCAAUUAUAUUUAAAGACACCUAAGUAUCUCAUUCCUAUUCCUAGGAAUAAAAUACCUAACAAUUCUCUCAAAUAUAUUCUAACCUGAUGCUCUGAUACCACCUGUGGCGGCCCCACUUCCUCCUAAGGCGAACCAAAGGGUUGGCGGGUCACCUGCCUAAUUCUGGCCAGAACUCACUCACUCUAGCAACUAAUUUCAUCAAACAUAAAUCGAAAAUAAUCCUUACUUCUCGAGCAAGUUAAGUAUUUAAAUAAAUCAUACAAUUCAACUUAUACAGCCCAAAAAUACAAUUCCAAGUACCAACGAAAACGUCGAGCUUAAAAUACUUAAUUUACAAUUUAAAGUUCCUAAUCCAGGGCACAGAAGCACCACAAGAUUCACAUUUUCCCGAAGGCACAAAAAAAAAUUAUCCAAAAGAUAUUAAAGUAUCUCCCAAAGUACAAUUACAAAAGUGAGCAUUCAAAAUAUAACAUUUCUUUUCUAGUUCUCCAAGACUUCAUGCAUUUCAGAACCUGUCAAGGAAAAACAAAAUGGAAGGGAUGCGCCAAUAGCUCAGUGGUGCCUCGAAACAUGCAAUUCACAUAGGGCAAUUUAACAAGUACAAAUGGACAAGUAAGCAAUUAACAAUUUAGGAAAACGAAGUAACAUAACAAGAAAAGGAUACGGGACUCUCAGGAGCCAAAGUCCUCGCUCUCGAUCAAGUAAUUUAUAGUAGUUGACACUUUGUCAACUUUCACUACCUAAUCUCCAUGUAGACAUUUUUCCUAAUCUACAUGUCUCCUAGCAAUGACUUCCCCCUUAUUUUCGGGCCCGACUCCAACAUGAAUUUUGCAAGCACUUUUACCAAGACGGCAGAGAGGUACCUCCCACUCUAAUAGAGCGUGGUACGUGCAUCCGUUUGGUUUAUUUAGUCGACGAGACCACGCUCCAAUCGACAUUGCAACACUUGUACUUGUGGCAUUUCACGCAAUCACAUAGCAUAUAAUCUUUCGUGAUAUCUCUAGCAAGUACUGUUAACAAGUAGUUCAACUAGCAGUUAAACACGAUUCAUGCAAGAGACACUCACCUCAAGUGAAGUGUCUAGAAUUCCAAACUCUGAUCGAGAUUGUGCUCUUCCCCAACUCCUAAAAUCAUACAAAUAAUUCACAUAAAUUUUCACUUUUGAGUUGGCGAAUUUAACUCGAGUCAACUAACAUUUAAUUUCACUCAAAAAUCCCAAACUAGCAUUAAUCGUUUUCUCAAAGUGAAAUCCACAAAUUUCAAGUGAAAUUAAAUUUUGAGGUUUUCUUUAAAACCAAAAACUUGCUAAAUUCGUCAAAUAUUCCAAUAACCAGGUUCUAGAGUCAUAUAAGCAAUCAACACCACUUUGGUGUCACAAGUUGAGAAAAAAAAUCACAUUUAACCAUUUAGAGGAAUUUUCCCCUCUAAUUUUCCCCAAAAAUAUCUUGGGAAAUUCCUUUAAGAGGAAAUCAUAUAAACCAAGUAAAACUAGUCGUUGGAAUUUCAAUAAAAUAGAAACUCCUUAAGUUUGCCAAAUUCCAUUGACCAACUUGGUUCAAGAAUUUUCAUGAAGGCAAAAACUUGAGUUUUCAAGAAAAUUUUCAAAUUUGGCAUAUUUCUCGAAAUAGGGCAUUUGGUCUAAUAAAAUUCAAGGUUAUUAACUCGAAGUGGACCUAGUAACAAAGGUUAAUGCGAGAAAACAUAUUCGGGACAACUUUAGUCCACAUUUAACCAAAACGAAAUCCAAACGUCAAAAUCCUUUCUAAUUUCAAACAAAAUUUCUGUUUUGGGUAGCCUCGUGAAGAAUAAAAUUUUGGUCCACUUUUUGGACGUAAACUCUACUAGAUUUUUGUCCCAAAUUGAGCUAUACACACCCUUAACUAAACACAAGUCAAAUUGGGUUCAUGCUAACAUGAAAAUCAUUCAACAUGUCUCAUGCAAAGCUGGACAAAUUUCCAAGUGCAUUCGGUACAAGCAGUCCAUUUUCUCUUCAAUUUGUCCAAAAUUUUUCAACUAUUCAAAAGCUACAUUUUUAUCCAAACAAUACUUCACAUAUAGAUUAACAUGUUUACUGCUCAAAUGGUUCAAAAACUUGUCAAAACCAAACCCCAAAAUUCGCCCAAAAAUCUGAAUAUUUCCAGAAUUUUUUUCGGACAGCUCAAGGGGCAUUUUUCUCUUUGAUUUUUUUCAAUGAAAUUUCCCAUUGUACCAAAGCUGCAUUUUCACCAAAACUACUCUACACAUAUAUGUGAACAUAUACAUGAUUUAAAUAGCUCAAUAACUUCACAAAAUUCAGCUCAAAAUUCGGGUAAAAAUGGAAGAAAAUCAAUCCUGUUUGUGCGGCUAUAGCAGAGCAGAAUUUUCUCCUCUUUUUGAUCAACCAUUUUCAACUUAUAACUCAUACUUUAAAUCCAUAACAAUCACAACUAAUUAGUCUAACCUCCCAACAAGCAAUCCAGUUCAUUACCUAAACAAAAUUUGCAAAACAACAACCGGUAACAAAGCUGGAAAAUUGCUCCCUCAUCCGGCUAGCACCCCAUUUUCAUUUUUAAAAAUUUCCCCAACAUUUAACCACCACAAAAUACACAUAUAAACACAUAAAACACCUCUAGUUUCAUCAAUCAUUAGCUUAGAGGAUCAGCAACCCAACAAGUUUCACCAAUGCAAGCUAAAAUUUCAAGAACCAAAAGCUGCAAAAAUCUAAAAUUUUGCUAAGUGCAAGGCGGAAGUUUUUGGGUUACCUUCAGGUGGUUGUUUAUUAGCUAAAUGUAGUGCCUAGUUCCCCAAGUUUGCUCUUAGAAUCAAAGAAGUCAGCUGGCACCCUUGCACUCUGUUUUUCCACUUGUCUAACCUGUCACCGCAGCAGCACAGCAGCGACCGAAGAUGAAAAGGGCUGGGGUUCUGGGAUUUUUGGUGAUCAUGGGGUGGUUCUGUGGUUGGUGGAAGGAAGAAAAAGGAAGCUGAUUUUUCUCCUUCACCCUGGCCCGAACAACCCAGCAGUAGUAGCAGCGGUAGGAGCAGCGAGAGUAGCAGUAGCAACAACGAUCUUCUCCUUCCUCUUGGUCGAUUGAGGCAGCAGCAAAGAGUGAAGGUUGAUGCUGGAAAUGGAAGGUGAAGGUAGGAGUUGAAGGUUGGUGAAGAUGGAGGAUCGGUGGAAGCUGUGGAAGAGCAGCGGCUCCUGUUUCUUUCUUGCACCCGAAGAUCAGAAUUUGGAGGGAAGAUAUGAACGUGAAAGCUGGGAUAAGAUGGGUUGAAAAUGAAGGUAAACUAAAGGUAUAGGUUUGUUGACUUUUGGGCCUGCCAUGAAGGGUGGGGAAAUUUUGAAUUGAAUCGCGUUUACGCGCAAAAAUUUUAUCUAAUGGUAGGAAUUCCCCAUUUAACAUUUCCUCAGCUUAGUUGUAUAUUUUUAUAACCUCUACACACCCUACAUUUCAGCUUAAGGCUACAUUGCGCGUCAGUGCGCAAAAAUUCACCCUCAUUCUUAGCCGAACGCGAACCGUCAAAUAAAUUUUUAAAAAUUCAUGUAAAUUAAAAUAUAACAUUUAUAUAAGUGAAAACAUCAUUAAUAAUAUAAAUACACAUUAUUAAAUAUAAAUACAUAUUAUUUAAUAAUUUCAACAUUUAAAUAAUAUUUUGAUUUUAAUUUUCAGAAAUUAAUGCAAUUUUGAGAUCCUCACAGCCAUAGAUUUUUAGCUUGGCAACAUAAGGUUCUGUAAAAGAUCCUAUCCAUAAAUUUUUAUUCUGUUCAUUCGCAUCGCUACCAUAUCGCCAUGCCUCUCCAUUUCCAGCCUCCAAUAUCUUCAAUAUAUCACCAUUUUGACUCAAUUUAACUAUCGAUCCGUAAGGAUUAACCUUGGUAUCUAGUGAUAUAACUGCAACCCAAAAUUCACCCUUUUGGUUUCUUUUGAUGUUAUCUGGCCUUCCUAGAAGUUUUGCAAAGAUUUCAACUGUACCAGCUUUUGAUGGCUCAAGGCAGUACUUCAGUAUUCUAGAAUUUGUAGUUUCAGCAACUAGCAGAAAAUCGCCGUUUUUGCUUAGUGCCACCCCAUUUGGAAGCAUGAGAUUAUUGAGUAAAACUGUUGCUUGAUUAGUUUUUGGAUCAAACUUUAAUAAUCUUCCCGAUUUAUCCCCUGUACUUAUCACUGAAGCGGAA
rnacentral:lncRNA from 1 species